GCGCAACGACACAAUAUCGACAGUGGUUGUAUUCCUAUUUGCUGAUUCUCAAUACAGUAUUCAGAUUUCGAUCAAGAAGAAAAUGUAACGAGAUCCCAGAUAAAUGAUGAACCGAAUCCAAGAAACAAAUAUGCAUUAAAUUUCUUGAUGCAGAGACGAAUAAGUCAUAUGAAUGUUACUUGUCCCCGGAGGGUGCUGAAUGGGUAUCAGCAAUUAAUUUUGUUUUGUAAUUAUUUUAUCUUUGCAUUCAGAAUCGUCACAGAUCUCUGUUAGUGAUAGAGGACACAUAAUAAGCAAACAUUGCUUUUAAUAAAUUUAUAUCGUCAAGAAUAU